AAAUCUGCUGUAGAUAAUAUUUCAUUGCCACGAACUGCAAUAUUAGUUGUAGAGACAGGAAAGGAGAGCAGUUGUAAAAUGACAGAAGAAGCAGCCUCCACAGCUGCCAGAGAUGAUUUCAACACGCUGCAAGCAUCUAAGAGACACAUUUUGCUAUGCCUGAGGUCAAUUUAUCCAACACAAACAGUAAAAGAAAACUCUAUAGCAGCAACGUAUAAAAUGUGUGAGGCCUACAGGGUAUAUUUUGGCAUGCCUGUCGAGGACUCAGACGAACACAUGCGAGCAUAGCAAAAGAAAUUCUAGAAGUUGCAGAAAGGAAUAGAAUGCUAUGAAGAUCGUUGUACCAAGUAGUUGGUGAGAACCCACUGAACACUGAAAUAAAAGUACUAUUCUAAAAGUCGGCCAUGCAAGAAUGUCGGUUACUGUAUCGGGACAUUCCAGCAUCGAUUGCUUCGUCUGACACUGCCACCGACUUGGGUAGCAGUUUGGGUGUUGUGCAAAGUUCACUAAUUACCACAGAAGCAAGUGUCACAUUUGUGUUCCACAUUUGGUUAGGUCUUAAUGUUCCUCUAUUUUCUCAAUUUCUGUGGUAUUCACUCGAUUAUCGUAUGACAUUGCAAAGCCUACUAUCCUACACGGUUUGGUUUGUUGAUGUUUCCCCUCAAUCAUAUCUAACUCC